UGAUCACUGCCAGAAAGAAGAAGAAGAAGAGAGUGAGAUUCGAAGUUACCCCCCUCGAAGCAACGAGGACAGCUCUUGGUUGGUAGAUGCACCGUAGCGAAUUAACGUUAGCCCCAUAGCACCCCCGCGAGCAUUAUCGUCUUGUUGGCCCUCGCAGUCUUAUUUAUGGGCACUCGCCGUGUGCCGCGAAUGCCUUCCCUCUACUUUCUCUCUUUCUCCGCGUAUCUAAUGGGCAUCCUAUUAGCCGCGGCUGAACUCACCGUACUCUGGUACUUUUCUAAGAACGGCUCUCUAAUGUACCUUCGCUCUAAUAGAAUAAUUCCUUGGCGCAUUAGUCAGGUCUUGGCUUUAAUCGCGAUUGCAGAAUUUAUGCCGCAUGCUAGAGAGAGGGCGAGCGGAGGAAAAAAGGGCGAAGUGAAAAAAGACAGAUAGAAAGAGAGAGAAUGAGUGAGUCCUGAACGAACUACGGCUACCAUAAUAAUUGAAUUAAGUGAAUGUCGCUUAAUGACACUCGUUACAUUACCUUACCGAUCGUAGUCGAGUCGCAAGAAAUCGCGAAUGCAAUCGCGAUGUCACGAACACCCGUGCGAGUAGAACGAAGGAACGUAGGAACGAACGAACGAACGAACCUCCUCCAUCGUAACCGAGGUUGCUGCUGAUGAAAUACGAUUUCGUCGUACUCGACGAGAGGAUAAUUGAAAAUUAUAAGCAGGGAGUGAAAUCGUGACGCGGCACUAACGGAAAUGCUCCGUGAACGUCUUAGCGCGUAGCAAGCUUAAGAAGAAGAAGAAUCGAAAGAAGGAUAGGAUCGAGAUGGAUUUAUGGCUUCCACGAGUCGCAUGGCUAAUGGACAAAGCGUUUUCCAGCGGUAGAAACAAAGCGGCCUCGAAGACGACGCGUAAUUCAAAAGAAGAAGGAAAAGAAAUGGAAAAAAAAUGUCGAAAGAUUUUACAAAGGAUCUAGGAAAGGCAAGAGAAAGAGAGAACGCAUGCGAACGUAGUUCUCUUAUGGGGAAUCGACUGGAGUACGAAGUGACUAGUGGCUCUACCGGAGUAAUUACAAAAAGAUACUUCUUGGUACGGCUUCCAUUUGUACGGCUCGGUGUUAUCCAUCAAUUCGGAUUCCGCUUAAUCGACUCUCUUCGAGGAACUCGUUGCGCGCUAGAGACUCGGAGGCUUUGACCGUAGAACUAAGGCAGCGGCAUUUACCCCAGAGACGGGCGUGUAUUGCUCGUUGCGUUUCGUAAAACCGGUAAUAAGAGAGGAAAUUGAGCUUGAAUCGAGGGAGCGACGAAGAUAGAAAGAUGGAUUCCUCGGAUGAUUCGAUUCCAGUGGAUCGCAGCCCGCAUCGACGUGGCACGGUCUUUCUACGCGACGAAUCUUCACGGGGAAAAGAAGGGAUAGGAUAUAGAAGAGGAAAAGAGGAUCGAGUGGUGUAGAGUGGAAGAAAGAUGAGAGAAAGAGGAGCGUACGUGGAACUAAUUUCUCCCAACGGAUCCGGGCAGGACGGGAAGAAAAGGUAGUAGUAGCAGUAGUGGUAGUAGUAGUACUAGUAGUAGUAGUAGGUGCAACGUGACGUAGCGCCGAGGAAAUUACGGUAAUCACGAACGGAGGAUGUGCGCGAGGAUACCUGGAAGAAAAAGCGACGGCAGCGGGAGGCCGCGAGUAAGAAGAGAAAAUAUUCUGGUGGUAUCGGGACGUAACUAAAAGAGGGAGUUGGAGGGACAUGCGAUACUACUCCACGUUAGUUUCAAGGCUAGGUCCAGAAGGUAGUUCAAAGGAAAGAAAACUUUAGCCUUGAGCAUCGAGAGUACGUAUACACGUAUACAUAAGUAAACGCGAACAAGAAGGAAAGUGGACGGAUCGACUUAAACAUGCGCGUGCCUUAGCUUUGAAAGAAGGAGAACGAUAGAGACAAGAA
rnacentral:lncRNA from 1 species